rnacentral:rRNA from 1 species
GACGAACCGAGCGAACGUUGUUCGGAAUAACUGGGCUUAAAGGGCGCGUAGGCGGGCCGCCAAGUCCGAGGUGAAAUCCUCCGGCUCAACCGGAGAACUGCCUCGGAUACUGGAGGCCUCGAGGCGGGUAGGGGCGUGCGGAACUGUGGGUGGAGCGGUGAAAUGCGUUGAUAUCCACAGGAACUCCGGUGGCGAAGGCGGCACGCUGGACCCGAUCUGACGCUGAGGCGCGAAAGCCAGGGGAGCAAACGGG